rnacentral:misc_RNA from 1 species
CAUUUACUGCUCCUUGUUCACGCAUCGCUGGAUUCUUAAGGUUCUUGCGACUACUUGCUGACUAUGAUUGGACCUUUUCUCCUUUGGUUGUUGACAUAAAUAAUGAUCUUACUCCGAUUGACAAGAAAGAGAUUUAUGAUAACUUUACACCGAGUAGAAAAGGUCAUGAAGAAAACGCACAGAACAUAAGCCCGUCAAUGUUCUUGGCAACAUCCUAUGACAAGGCAUCUGAAGCUUGGACCAGAUUUGCACCAAACUCACUGGAGCUUAAGAGGUUGGUGGCCUAUGCUCGUAGCAGUGCAAACCUGCUGACUAGACUUGUAUUGGAGGAUCAGACUGGUCCUUUGAAAUGGGAGUGCCUUUUCCGAACUCCUCUGAGCAACUAUGAUGCUGUAAUUCUUCUCCAUGCAGGCAGAUUACCUUAUCCUCAGCGUCUUCUCUUUCCAUCCAAUUCAAACCAAGGGAGACUUGUGGUUCAUGGGAAUGCAAGCAAAGCUUUUCAGCCCUUCAUGUUGCCUGGAGAUUUGAGGGGUAAUUCAGAGGAGCUCAAACAUAAGCUGAUGGUGAACUUUGAUCCUUUGAUGAGCUAUGUUGCAGAUUUACAGAAAGAGUUCAACACAUUUAAGUUGUGGUAUGAUUCUCUGGGAGGUGAUGCAAUUGGCCUGACGUGGGAAACAAAGAAACGAGGACGAGAUGAAGCAGGUGAAGGAGAAGAUCCAAUUAAAGUGUUAAAAGGUGUAGGUGAAGUUGGGAAAGGAUUUGUAAGGAGUGUAUAUUUUCUUAAGGCA